rnacentral:rRNA from 1 species
GUCGGCAGCUAGCUCUCUGCAGCUCUCACAUGAUCUCCCGCUGAAGCUAAGCAGGGCUGAGUCUGGUCAGUUCCUGGAUGGGAGACCACAUGGGAAAGCUAGGUUGCUGCCGGAA